rnacentral:rRNA from 1 species
AUUGAACGCUGGCGGCAGGCCUAACACAUGCAAGUCGAACGAGUGGCGGACGGGUGAGUAAUGUAUCGGAACGUGCCCAGUAGCGGGGGAUAACUACGCGAAAGCGUAGCUAAUACCGCAUACUAUUGGAUCGGCCGAUAUCGGAUUAGCGAGUUGGCGGGGGAACGGCUCACCUAGGCGACGAUCCCUAGCUGGUCUGGGAGGAUGACCAGCCACACGGUAACUGAGAAACGGUACAGACUCCUACGGGAGGCAGCAGUGGGGAAUAUUGCACAAUGGGCGCAAGCCUGAUGCAGCCAUGCCGCGUGGAUGAAGAAGGCCUUCGGGUUGUAAAGUACUUUCAGCGAGGAGGCGUUACUCGCAGAAGAAGCACCGGCUAACUCCGUGCCAGCAGCCGCGGUAAUAC